UUACGGCCAUAUCAUAUUGAAACACAGGUUCCCGUACGAUCACCUUAAUUAAGCAACGUCGAUCCUGGUAAGUAAGUAGAUGGGUUACCGCUUGGGAAUAGCAGGUGU